CUGAUGGUCAAAGAGUUGGCGGACAGCACUUUGAAAUCCGCGUCCACAACACCAAAGCCGCCACUACGAUCAACAGCGUGGUCGGCAAUUGGAACUCCACUGCCAUUGCCGCCGAAUCCUGUCCACAUCCCCACCCCGCCACCGGACUACGACGACAUCUUCGUUGGGGAAAAAGGACUUGGAUCUUGGAGGUGCAGGCACCAGUGCAGGAAGUGCGGCUUGAUGUUAAGGUUAAGGUAAUUAACCAAACAAACAUCCAAAUCUCGAUGUGCCAGCGAAAUUGAUGACUAAGAUUCAUCUCAAUAAAUCGCUCAGCUGUGGUGACCAGCGGAAGGGACCUGGACGCGCAACAUUAAGAAAUUAACUUAAAAAAUCGUAAGGAAUAUGCCACGUUAGCCAGGAGUCACCUGAAGAUAAUAACGGUAGACCACCUGUUGCUGAUCAGAAAGACUGUGCCAUGAUUUAUUCUUAUAAAUCAUUAGUUUCUGAGAACAUAUGUACAUAAACUAAAACAUUUAAUCGGCAUUUAAUGGUAUCAUCAGUGUUUAAGUUCAUGUUUAUGUUGAUCUAAACAUAUGUGGGUCUUUAAUGACAUAAAUCCCAAUACUUUAAUUUUGCGCUGCUCACUAGACAAAGUUAAACAAUUAGGAACUAAACCAAAAAGUACUAGUACAAGAAUGAAAUAAGGAUCGAACCUUAUGCUCAGAAAUGCUUUAUCAAUUAAAUUUAAUCAUUAAUUUUCCAUAUUAAUAUAAUAAUCAGGGAUAUCUUCUUCACCGUUUAGGCUUUAAUGAGUUAAGGCCCAUGUAAACUGGGUAAUUGAAGUGAAACUUUCUCGAUGGCGAGGAGGGACAUGCACUCACUGGGUGAAAGUGGGCAAGAGGUCCAGAAUCCACUGGAACCACUCGACAAGUCGUCAAGCCAACCUCGGCGUGAAACUCGUUUGCCUGUUCAAGUUUUAGUUGCUUACAUCAAGUGCAAAAGAUAUGAAUGUGACAAGUGGUUGCCACUGUCAUCGUCAUCGAUUGCUGGCAUGGAAUGGACUUGAAGCUUUUCCUGUGCAUGCCGCGUGUAAAUGUUCUAUCAUCUGCAUUUGGCAUGCUCUAUGGGUGGUUUUCCCGUAAGAACUGAUAAAAAUAAGCGUGCCUGGUUAAGAUAGUGGUUGAGAUACUUUGAGGCUCUUUAAUCAUCGCAGGUGGUGAAAUAAAUUCUAUUUUUAGAAUUCCAACUUAAAAUUCAAAUAGUUGUUGUCAAGGAAUUCCCUAAAAAUUCAAUAUACUGGGAAAAUAGAUUGACUUGAAAAUACGAUUUUGCAUAGAUACAAUUAUAACAAAAUUGGAGAAACAAAAGUAAUUUAUUUAAGAGCACCACAGUUUAACCACGGCGAAUUGUAGGCUCCUAUGAUACAGAAAUAAUUGCUGACCAACACACUUUGUAAAAAUCAAUACGAACAAAUUUCAAAGUCGCAUAGGAACUGACCAUAAAUUGUUGAUUGGAUCGAUUCAAUUGAGAACGAGGACGAUUCGGUUAGGGAAACUACGUGCAUCGAACAUUCGGGGAAUCAAUACGACAACUUUAAGCAACUUGCCAGUACAAAUUUCACCCAUAUUAAAUUUCGCCAGAGAGGAGAUAAUUGUAUCAGAGGCAAGCGCCGUGCUUGACAACAGAUUAUUUUCUUUGAUCUUGCUAUUUAAGCAAGAAAAUGUUCAUAUGAAUCAUACAUGUAUAUGAAUGUAUAUACAUAUGUGGAAAGUUUUUUCGCAGCGAAUUGAUCAAGUGAGAUCAUUUUAUUGCAUUGAGCUGUAAUUUAAUUGAACCGAACGGAAGGCGACAAUGAAGUGCAACGAAUGAAUUAGUGUAGACGAAGUUAGGUAAAAUAUAUGUACAUAUGUAUGUAUAUUACAAAAAACACACACAUAAAUCCUAAAAAUGUACAGAAAAUAAGGUAAAUACCCCUUUUUAUUGGCAAACAGUGUUCUUAAACAACUCGCACUACAUUUUAUUGAAACAGUUGUUAGUUAUUUGUAUUGGCUUGGCAAUUAACUUACAAAAGGGCUAAGUUAUUCAUCCGCUUUGUUGUUAAAAUUCCCUACCUGCUAUUACUUAAGAACAUCGUAAGAAUUCGGGAUUUCAAGCCGAUUCCCAGCGAGUUCGAUCAAUACUUUUCUGGCCACUCAAACGAGAAGCGUGCAAGUUGAAGUUGAAACUUUAAACAGAUCUUCUCUAGAGGCUCUCACUUAGGAAACCCCCUGUGCUCGAAAAGCAAAACCAGUUUAGCACCGGUCAAUAAAUUUCAGCUCAAGAUUUUUGCAACUUGUUUUUUGUUGGCCAAACAAAACAAACCGAAUAUCAAGGCUCAUAGAUUGAGUUUGACCCACAUUUAAUCACUUUGGAACAUAAUCAAAUAAAUAAUGUCAAAUGAGAAUCAUUUUGAUUUGUCCGAUUAGGUAAUGCCGCAAAUUAAAUUCCCAUGCAAAGUUCAGAUACAUUUUGCUCGUAUUAUACUAAAGAAUAUAUCGAAAUAAACAUUUCAGAUCUGCGUCUGCAAUUGUUUUGCCUUUUGCGUCAUUCCAUGUCACGUGUGGGGGCGGGCCCACAAAAAAGAUGUAUUUUCCUCAAGGUAAUAUGGAGAUUAUAAGCCAAAAUGGAGUGGAAAAUAUUUCAAAAGUCGAGAACACGGCCGAGAAGCACAAUAGCAGCACAUGUGGUCUCCAAAUCAUUUUAAAAUUGAUAAAAUACUUGGGUUUAGAUUUUGUUUACAUAACACUCUCUUACCUAACCCGAUUGCCACGCGCUACUCAAACUCGAAACCAGGUUUUCAGUCGGAUCUUAACUGUUCGUCAUAAAAAGUCCUAGGGGCUUGCCGGGCAUUAAGGCAGGUUCUCAAGGUCAACGAAAAGCAAUUAACCGGAAAAGACGGAAUACCGCCACGUUCCCAAAUUCCCAGCUGCAAACCACUAAUCACUAAUCACCUGCCUAAUCACAAGUAAUUACCGCGGUCUCAAAAUC
rnacentral:sRNA from 1 species